ACCAAUUGUUGCCUCGGCGGAUCAGCCCGCUCCCGGUAAAACGGGACGGCCCGCCAGAGGACCCCUAAACUCUGUUUCUAUAUGUAACUUCUGAGUAAAACCAUAAAUAAAUCAAAACUUUCAACAACGGAUCUCUUGGUUCUGGCAUCGAUGAAGAACGCAGCAAAAUGCGAUAAGUAAUGUGAAUUGCAGAAUUCAGUGAAUCAUCGAAUCUUUGAACGCACAUUGCGCCCGCCAGUAUUCUGGCGGGCAUGCCUGUUCGAGCGUCAUUUCAACCCUCAAGCCCUCGGGUUUGGUGUUGGGGAUCGGCGAGCCCUUGCGGCAAGCCGGCCCCGAAAUCUAGUGGCGGUCUCGCUGCAGCUUCCAUUGCGUAGUAGUAAAACCCUCGCAACUGGUACGCGGCGCGGCCAAGCCGUUAAACCCCCAACUUCUGAAUGUUGACCUCGGAUCAGGUAGGAAUACCCGCUGAACUUAAGCAUAUCA
rnacentral:rRNA from 1 species